UAAAGCUCAAUAUAUUUUUACAAUGAUCAUGGGCACAAUGCUGAAAGACUGCCCAUGAAUACCCUCCAUCAAGGCUUUGGUCACCAUGGCUAGUCUGGUGUGGAUCCUAUCCUUCUUCAUGGGAAAGAUCAUCAUACCCAAGAAGCAGAACAUGAACACAAAUACCCUUCUAUGUAUGUUCCCCAAAGAUGUAAGGGCGAACUCAUCAGGGUAGGUGCGGUAGGACUUGCUGUGGCUAAACCUUUAGUAAUAUGGUAUGUAGGACUUCUUCAGACAAGUUAGAUCGGGAUUCUUCUUAAGUCGCAUAAUUUGAAGGAAACCCCUUCCUUUGUGAUUUUCUAGCAUAAGUAGACCUGGAUUCUCCCAAGGUAUUCCAGCUAGACCCCCUAUUUCUUCCAGCAACGGGGUCAUCUC
rnacentral:lncRNA from 1 species